ACUCCUACGGGAGGCAGCAGUAGGGAAUCUUCCACAAUGGGCGCAAGCCUGAUGGAGCAACACCGCGUGAGUGAAGAAGGGUUUCGGCUCGUAAAGCUCUGUUGUUAAAGAAGAACACGUAUGAGAGUAACUGUUCAUACGUUGACGGUAUUUAACCAGAAAGUCACGGCUAACUACGUGCCAGCAGCCGCGGUAAUACGUAGGUGGCAAGCGUUAUCCGGAUUUAUUGGGCGUAAAGAGAGUGCAGGCGGUUUUCUAAGUCUGAUGUGAAAGCCUUCGGCUUAACCGGAGAAGUGCAUCGGAAACUGGAUAACUUGAGUGCAGAAGAGGGUAGUGGAACUCCAUGUGUAGCGGUGGAAUGCGUAGAUAUAAUGGAAGAAACACCAGUGGCGAAGGCGGCUACCUGGUCUGCAAACUGACGCUGAGAACUCGAAAGACAUGGGUA
rnacentral:rRNA from 1 species